UACGUAGGGGGCAAGCGUUGUCCGGAAUCAUUGGGCGUAAAGAGCGUGUAGGCGGUUCGGUAAGUCGGCUGUGAAAGUCCAGGGCUCAACCCUGGGAUGCCGGUCGAUACUGCCGUGCUUGAGGACUGGAGAGGAGACUGGAAUUUACGGUGUAGCGGUGAAAUGCGUAGAUAUCGUAAGGAAGACCAGUGGCGAAGGCGGGUCUCUGGACAGUUCCGUGACGCUGAGGCACGAAGGCCAGGGGAGCAAACGGGG
rnacentral:rRNA from 1 species